rnacentral:rRNA from 1 species
UAAUACGUAGGUGGCAAGCGUUGUCCGGAUUUAUUGGGCGUAAAGCGAGCGCAGGCGGUUUCUUAGGUCUGAUGUGAAAGCCUUCGGCUUAACCGGAGAAGUGCAUCGGAAACCAGGAGACUUGAGUGCAGAAGAGGACAGUGGAACUCCAUGUGUAGCGGUGAAAUGCGUAGAUAUAUGGAAGAACACCAGUGGCGAAGGCGGCUGUCUGGUCUGUAACUGACGCUGAGGCUCGAAAGCAUGGGUAGCGAACAGGAUUAGAUACCCUGGUAGUCCAUGCCGUAAACGAUGAGUGCUAAGUGUUGGAGGGUUUCCGCCCUUCAGUGCUGCAGCUAACGCAUUAAGCACUCCGCCUGGGGAGUACGACCGCAAGGUUGAAACUCAAAGGAAUUGACGGGGGCCCGCACAAGCGGUGGAGCAUGUGGUUUAAUUCGAUGCUACGCGAAGAACCUUACCAGGUCUUGACAUCUUCUGCCAACCUAAGAGAUUAGGCGUUCCCUUCGGGGACAGAAUGACAGGUGGUGCAUGGUUGUCGUCAGCUCGUGUCGUGAGAUGUUGGGUUAAGUCCCGCAACGAGCGCAACCCUUAUUGUUAGUUGCCAGCAUUCAGUUGGGCACUCUAGCAAGACUGCCGGUGACAAACCGGAGGAAGGUGGGGAUGACGUCAAAUCAUCAUGCCCCUUAUGACCUGGGCUACACACGUGCUACAAUGGACGGUACAACGAGUCGCGAAACCGCGAGGUCAAGCUAAUCUCUUAAAGCCGUUCUCAGUUCGGAUUGUAGGCUGCAACUCGCCUACAUGAAGUUGGAAUCGCUAGUAAUCGUGGAUCAGCAUGCCACGGUGAAUACGUUCCCGGGCCUUGUACACACCGCCCGUCACACCAUGAGAGUUUGUAACACCCAAAGCCGGUGAGGUAACCUUCGGGGACCAGCCGUCUAAGGUGGGACAGAUGAUUAGGGUG